rnacentral:sRNA from 1 species
ACUCAACAUUAUAUCAUUAAAAAGGAUGAGUUUUGAUUGCGAAAUCGUGCCGUUAAUCUUUUGGAUUUAGACGGAUUUUUGACCAAUCGGUUAGUCCUAAACCUGUUUUUAGGAGUUU